UCGGAGGAAGGUGGGGAUGACGUCAAGUCAUCAUGCCCCUUAUGUCUUGGGCUUCACGCAUGCUACAAUGGCCGGUACAAAGGGCUGCAAUACCGCGAGGUGGAGCGAAUCCCAAAAAGCCGGUCCCAGUUCGGAUUGUAGUCUGCAACUCGACCCCAUGAAGUCGG
rnacentral:rRNA from 1 species